AGAUUAAGUUAUUAAGGGCGCACGGUGGAUGCCUUGGCACUAGAAGCCGAUGAAGGACGUUACUAACGACGAUAUGCUUUGGGUAGCUGUAAGUAAGCGUUGAUCCAGAGAUUUCCGAAUGGGGGAACCCAGCAUGAGUUAUGUCAUGUUAUCGACAUGUGAAUUCAUAGCAUGUCAGAAGGCAGACCCGGAGAACUGAAACAUCUUAGUACCCGGAGGAAGAGAAAGAAAAAUCGAUUCCCUGAGUAGCGGCGAGCGAAACGGGAAGAGCCCAAACCAACAAGCUUGCUUGUUGGGGUUGUAGGACACUCUAUACGGAGUUACAAAAGAACAUGUUAGACGAAUCAUCUGGAAAGAUGAAUCAAAGAAGGUAAUAAUCCUGUAGUCGAAAACAUAUUCUCUCUUGAGUGGAUCCUGAGUACGACGGAGCACGUGAAAUUCCGUCGGAAUCUGGGAGGACCAUCUCCUAAGGCUAAAUACUCUCUAGUGACCGAUAGUGAACCAGUACCGUGAGGGAAAGGUGAAAAGUACCCCGGAAGGGGAGUGAAAGAGAACUUGAAACCGUGUGCUUACAAGUAGUCAGAGCCCGUUAAUGGGUGAUGGCGUGCCUUUUGUAGAAUGAACCGGCGAGUUACGAUCUGAUGCAAGGUUAAGCAGCAAAUGUGGAGCCGCAGCGAAAGCGAGUCUGAAUAGGGCGUUGAGUAUUUGGUCGUAGACCCGAAACCAGGUGAUCUACCCUUGGUCAGGUUGAAGUUCAGGUAACACUGAAUGGAGGACCGAACCGACUUACGUUGAAAAGUGAGCGGAUGAACUGAGGGUAGCGGAGAAAUUCCAAUCGAACUUGGAGAUAGCUGGUUCUCUCCGAAAUAGCUUUAGGGCUAGCCUCAAGUGAUGAUUAUUGGAGGUAGAGCACUGUUUGGACGAGGGGCCCCUCUCGGGUUACCGAAUUCAGACAAACUCCGAAUGCCAAUUAAUUUAACUUGGGAGUCAGAACAUGGGUGAUAAGGUCCGUGUUCGAAAGGGAAACAGCCCAGACCACCAGCUAAGGUCCCAAAAUAUAUGUUAAGUGGAAAAGGAUGUGGCGUUGCCCAGACAACUAGGAUGUUGGCUUAGAAGCAGCCAUCAUUUAAAGAGUGCGUAAUAGCUCACUAGUCGAGUGACACUGCGCCGAAAAUGUACCGGGGCUAAACAUAUUACCGAAGCUGUGGAUUGUCCUUUGGACAAUGGUAGGAGAGCGUUCUAAGGGCGUCGAAGCAUGAUCGCAAGGACAUGUGGAGCGCUUAGAAGUGAGAAUGCCGGUGUGAGUAGCGAAAGACGGGUGAGAAUCCCGUCCACCGAUUGACUAAGGUUUCCAGAGGAAGGCUCGUCCGCUCUGGGUUAGUCGGGUCCUAAGCUGAGGCCGACAGGCGUAGGCGAUGGAUAACAGGUUGAUAUUCCUGUACCACCUAGUAUCGUUUUAAUCGAUGGGGGGACGCAGUAGGAUAGGCGAAGCGUGCUGUUGGAGUGCACGUCCAAGCAGUAAGGCUGAGUGUUAGGCAAAUCCGGCACUCAUAAGGCUGAGCUGUGAUGGGGAGAGGAAAUUGUUUCCUCGAGUCGUUGAUUUCACACUGCCGAGAAAAGCCUCUAGAUAGAUAACAGGUGCCCGUACCGCAAACCGACACAGGUAGUCAAGAUGAGAAUUCUAAGGUGAGCGAGCGAACUCUCGUUAAGGAACUCGGCAAAAUGACCCCGUAACUUCGGGAGAAGGGGUGCUCUUUAGGGUUCACGCCCAGAAGAGCCGCAGUGAAUAGGCCCAAGCGACUGUUUAUCAAAAACACAGGUCUCUGCUAAACCGUAAGGUGAUGUAUAGGGGCUGACGCCUGCCUGGUGCUGGAAGGUUAAGAGGAGUGGUUAGCUUCUGCGAAGCUACGAAUCGAAGCCCCAGUAAACGGCGGCCGUAACUAUAACGGUCCUAAGGUAGCGAAAUUCCUUGUCGGGUAAGUUCCGACCCGCACGAAAGGCGUAACGAUUUGGGCACUGUCUCAACGAGAGACUCGGUGAAAUCAUAGUACCUGUGAAGAUGCAGGUUACCCGCGACAGGACGGAAAGACCCCGUGGAGCUUUACUGUAGCCUGAUAUUGAAAUUCGGCACAGCUUGUACAGGAUAGGUAGGAGCCUUUGAAACGUGAGCGCUAGCUUACGUGGAGGCGUUGGUGGGAUACUACCCUAGCUGUGUUGGCUUUCUAACCCGCACCACUUAUCGUGGUGGGAGACAGUGUCAGGCGGGCAGUUUGACUGGGGCGGUCGCCUCCUAAAAGGUAACGGAGGCGCUCAAAGGUUCCCUCAGAAUGGUUGGAAAUCAUUCAUAGAGUGUAAAGGCAUAAGGGAGCUUGACUGCGAGACCUACAAGUCGAGCAGGGUCGAAAGACGGACUUAGUGAUCCGGUGGUUCCGCAUGGAAGGGCCAUCGCUCAACGGAUAAAAGCUACCCCGGGGAUAACAGGCUUAUCUCCCCCAAGAGUUCACAUCGACGGGGAGGUUUGGCACCUCGAUGUCGGCUCAUCGCAUCCUGGGGCUGUAGUCGGUCCCAAGGGUUGGGCUGUUCGCCCAUUAAAGCGGUACGCGAGCUGGGUUCAGAACGUCGUGAGACAGUUCGGUCCCUAUCCGUCGUGGGCGUAGGAAAUUUGAGAGGAGCUGUCCUUAGUACGAGAGGACCGGGAUGGACAUACCUCUGGUGUACCAGUUGUCGUGCCAACGGCAUAGCUGGGUAGCUAUGUAUGGACGGGAUAAGUGCUGAAAGCAUCUAAGCAUGAAGCCCCCCUCAAGAUGAGAUUUCCCAACUUCGGUUAUAAGAUCCCUCGAAGAUGACGAGGUUAAUAGGUUCGAGGUGGAAGCGUGGUGACACGUGGAGCUGACGAAUACUAAUCGAUCGAAGACUUAAUCAAUUUUUAAA
rnacentral:rRNA from 1 species